AUUGAACGCUGGCGGCAGGCCUAACACAUGCAAGUCGAACGAGUGGCGGACGGGUGAGUAAUGUCGGGGAAACUGCCUGAUGGAGGGGGAUAACUACUGGAAACGGUAGCUAAUACCGCAUACCAUCGGAUGUGCCCAGAUGGGAUUAGCUAGUAGGUGGGGGAACGGCUCACCUCGGCGACGAUCCCUAGCUGGUCUGAGAGGAUGACACGCCACACUGGAACUGAGACACGGUCCAGACUCCUACGGGAGGCAGCAGUGGGGAAUAUUGCACAAUGGGCGCAAGCCUGAUGCAGCCAUGCCGCGGGUGUGAAGAAGGCCUUCGGGUUGUAAAGCACUUUCAGCGGGGAGGCGUUACCCGCAGAAGAAGCACCGGCUAACUCCGUGCCAGCAGCCGCGGUAAUAC
rnacentral:rRNA from 1 species